rnacentral:rRNA from 1 species
CCUACGGGAGGCAGCAGUAGGGAAUCUUCGGCAAUGGACGGAAGUCUGACCGAGCAACGCCGCGUGAGUGAAGAAGGUUUUCGGAUCGUAAAGCUCUGUUGUAAGAGAAGAACGAGUGUGAGAGUGGAAAGUUCACACUGUGACGGUAUCUUACCAGAAAGGGACGGCUAACUACGUGCCAGCAGCCGCGGUAAUACGUAGGUCCCGAGCGUUGUCCAGAUUUAUUGGGCGUAAAGCGAGCGCAGGCGGUUAGAUAAGUCUGAAGUUAAAGGCUGUGGCUUAACCAUAGUACGCUUUGGAAACUGUUUAACUUGAGUGCAAGAGGGGAGAGUGGAAUUCCAUGUGUAGCGGUGAAAUGCGUAGAUAUAUGGAGGAACACCGGUGGCGAAAGCGGCUCUCUGGCUUGUAACUGACGCUGAGGCUCGAAAGCGUGGGGAGCAAACAGGAUUAGAUACCCUGGUAGUC